UGAACGCUAGCGGCAGGCUUAACACAUGCAAGUCGAGGGGUAACAGGGUUUAGUUUACUAGAUUGCUGACGACCGGCGCACGGGUGAGUAACGCGUAUACAAUUUACCUUUUACAGGGGAAUAGCCCAGAGAAAUUUGGAUUAAUGCCCCAUAGUAUUAUAGAGUCACCUGGCUUUAUGAUUAAAGUUUCGGCGGUAAAAGAUGAGUAUGCGUCCUAUUAGCUAGAUGGUAAGGUAACGGCUUACCAUGGCGACGAUAGGUAGGGGUCCUGAGAGGGAGAUCCCCCACACUGGUACUGAGACACGGACCAGACUCCUACGGGAGGCAGCAGUGAGGAAUAUUGGGCAAUGGAGGCAACUCUGACCCAGCCAUGCCGCGUGCAGGAAGACUGCCCUAUGGGUUGUAAACUGCUUUUAUACAGGAAGAAACUUACCCACGUGUGGGUAACUGACGGUACUGUAAGAAUAAGCACCGGCUAACUCC
rnacentral:rRNA from 1 species